CCAAACCCAAUGCAAUAAACUGGGGGUUCGGGAGGUGGGAAGCAGGGGCAGGGCAUGUGGCGUACCUUCAUUCCUCCAAAACCCCUUCCCCUUGUGCCCGCCCCCCCCCCUGCCUCUCCCACCUCCUGCAGCUACCACCUGGCCUGCUGGGUGAAGGUGCCGGUGGUGGCGGCGCUGCUGAGGGCACUGCCGCCGCCGCCCGACCCCGGGCAGCAGCCGGCGGCGGCGGCGGAGUGGGCGGCGGGCGGCGGCGGGGGGCUGCAGGGCGUGUUCCUGUCCGACCAUGACGUGGUGAGCAGGGAGGGGAGGGGAGAGGAGAGGGAGGGAGGGAAGUGGAGAGAGAGGGCUUCGUGCCAGAGCCCAACGACAAGAGGGAGGGAGGGAGGGAGGGAGGGAGGGAGGGAGGGAGGGAGACAGUGGUGAGGUGUAGUCCAGUCCGGGUGUGUGGGGCAAAUGGACUUUGGUGAGGAAGGGGGCAAAAGAAGGGGGGGCGAUAGGAGCGGCGCGGGCGGAAGGGGCGAAUUGCAUCGCCCACGUGCCCAUGCCGCCACGUGGCCACGUGUCGCGGGAGCCUGCACAUGCGGCGGCAGCGGCCAUAGACCCGCUGGAGCUCAAUGCAAGCGGGGCUGCGAUUGACCAACGGUGUGCAGCGGCCCAAGCCGACACACGGCAGCGGGGUGCGCAGCAUGGGGACAGCCCACACGCCGCCCCCACAGAGCGGAUCCAUGUGUGGGUGGGUGUAUGGUACUGCAUGGAACCCAACGGCGCUGUUCCCCUCUUUCCUCACCCGGCCAACACCCACCCACCCGCCCGCCCACCUGCCCGCCCCCCUCAUACACAGGUGUACCUGAAGCGUGUCCCCGACACCCUGGACGCCUUCUUUUUUGGAUCCAAAUUCAGCAGCAACAGCAGCCAUCCACCAGAUCCGGAUCCUGCAGCCGCCACCGCCGCCCCGCCGUACGACGUGACCGCCAUGGGCGAGCACGGCGGCAUCAACAGCGGCGUGGUUGCGGCGCGCAACACGCCUGCCGUACACGCAAUGUACGACGCCUGGUCCCGCCUGAUCACGUCCCGUGACUCGGACCAGGGGCAGCACCUCGAGCUGCGGGGGAAGCACUGGGUGCCGUGUCGGGCGCGGGGCGACUGCCCGGGCGCGGGGCCGACCGUGGCAGCCCUGGCCAGGCACAACCCGCCCUGGGGCAAGGGCCGCAUCUGCCCGCCCGUUGACCGGUCAAACCACACCCACUGGGUCUGGUACGACGGCAAGGGCGAGGUACGGGACCACUGUGCCGUACGGGAGCGGCUGUACGCGCACAUGAUCUGUCUGGGCGGUUCGGAGAAGCUGCGCGCAGCCAAGGCCCUGGGGCUGUGGUUCCUGGAUGAAACCGACCCAUGGGUGACCAAUGAGGCCGCCAUUGCGGCCGCCGGCCUGCCGUGCGCGCCGCCGAGUGACGUGGCGCGGCUGUACGUCAUGCAGCCGGCGCCGCCGCCAGUGCCGCCGCCGCCACGGGGGCGGGGGAUCUAGGGAGCGGGGUGGCUGCGGCGGCGGUGGAAAGAGAGGCAAGGCGAAGGGGACGGAGGAGAAGUGGUGAAGACUGCUGGGGGCGCAUCCGAUGUAGCAGGAGGGCAGGCGGGUGGCAGUGGGUAGAUGUGGGGAAGUAGAUGGGGAGGGGGCGGUGCGCGUGAAGGGCAGCAGCCGGUAGCCAAACUGGAGGCAGGGUCUGACAAAGAAGAGGCAGGGGUGUAGGCAGGGGGCAGGGAAGAUUUGAUACACUCAGACGAGGAUGGCGCCGCGGCAGGGAGGAAGGCGGAGCGGGCGAGGAUGGGGUGGAAGAGCUAGUCGGCAGUUAAGGCGGAGGCGGAAGAGGAGUAGUGUGUGCUCACACAAAGUGUGUGUGAGGGGGGGGGCGCAUGGCGGGCACUGCACCGAAAGGUGUAAUGGAUGGAAGGACCAGGUAGUUGUGAGCAGUGAGCGACGGGUUAUGGCUGUAGUGUGGUGGGAGGCGCGUGGGCCGUGGACACCAGACGCGAGGGCUGUGGGGCUCUGACGCACACGGAGGAGGAGGCACCAAGGCACGGCGGCCUGGGCCCAGGGCGCGAUGCCACACGGUACUGAGAGUGCACUGACCAGGCGGGCGGGGAGGAGGGGCGGGCAGGCACCUACGCCCCCUGCUGCCCUUGUAACCCGACCGCCCGACCAGCACCACUGCACUGCCCGUGGCAAGGCCUGCUGUGGCACUCAUGUGCGCACUGCGUUCCCCCCCCCCCCACACACACACACAGCCACGCACAGCCAGCCAGCGGGCUGCGGCGAUACCUGGAACCGUGGCAACUGGCAGUCGACAUCUGUUGGCACCGCACCGCACGCCUGCGUCGUCUCACGCACUGGCGCACCGGCUCGGCGGCGAGGGCGGCGCCUGCCAGCGGCCGACCAAGUCCCAACCACCGCACGUCGGUCGCCAACCGCUGCAAAUCAGAGCCGACGAUGCGCGCUGACCCCGUGUCAUGUACGGGGCUCACGGCUGUUCUUAAGCGUGCGGGUCGCGAGGCUCGCGGCGUGUCGGGCGGCCCCUUGUCAGCGCUGCAACGCUCGGGCUCUGGAGCGGGCCGGCCCGCAAGUCGACAGGCCGUGGUGCCGGCUGGCCCUAGGGCCGCGCCCUGAUGCGAGCGCUCAGUUGCCGACUAGAAAACCCUUGCUGCGCUUCCCUACACAACAACAGCGCCGACCACAUCCUCGCUUGCUGUGCCACGCACCGAACUCGCUUCAAACCCGUGUCGGCACUUCUGAACACGCGCAUCGCCGGACCGCCGGUUGCUGACGCCACCCCCAGCCUUUAGGUAAAGUAUUCCACCACAUCCUGCUGAUGCGCUUGCUCGCUAGUCCAUCAGACUUCGAUAUCAUCCAGCGGUGGCGCGAAGCAGGAGCGCCCGUCGACAUGCGCGACUGCACUCGCACCAAGCUAGCGGCUGAGCCCAAGCCCAACAUCUAAUUGGCGCUGUUGCUGGGUAUGAAGUUAGCGCUACACUCAGCCCGAUGAAGAGUUUAUGACGAGCGACGGUUCAGAUGCGUUCCGGAGCUGGACCACCGUCACGCAGAGCCCCAACAAAGGCUCCACAUGUGCUAAUGCAAACAACAUGUAUCACUUGUAACCAGCAGCUUUGCCAAUGUGCAUGAUUUGGCUUAGCGAGGCAGUCGCAAGCCUGGCGCGUGGCGCAUUCUUGCAGCGCGCCAGCCCCCGCAGCUUUAGCGGUCCAUUGCAAGCUCAAUGGGCCACGUCGCAAUGCACCAGCGGGCGAGCGGACAGCGCACGCUGGCGCGCGACCGAUCGGGCGCGGGGUCGAUCGAGAUGGCCGGGUACGGCGAUCGGCGCGCGAGAUGGGACCAUGAACCCCUUCUUAAGCGACGCGCGCUCGUGAAAAUAUCGUGACCGGCUUCAACCAGUCCCCACACAUCAGUCAAAAUGGCCUUCGCUCUGUCCUUCUCCCGCAAGGCUCUGCAGGUGUGCAAGCUAGGGUCGCACAUCGCUUAGCGAAACAACUCACGUCACCUUUGUUGGGCUCAUGGGCCCUCGUGGAGCUUCGGGAGCUAACCUGCUGGCGAUGGCGUGUCUAUGUGCAGGUGUCCGCCAAGGCCACCGGCAAGAAGGGCACCGGCAAGACCGUGAGUGUUCCGGCAUGCGCGGGGCACGGGUUCGCGCUGGGCUUCAGUCUCAUGGAUCCCCUUGCGGGCUUGGGCUCAGUGGCAGUGUUCUAGUCAGCAGCGCCGCGGGGAUUCUUGAGUUAUUGCCACCGUUUGCGCCUGUGGCUUCGCACAUGGCAACCCGCUUAAGCAACCCUUCAACGCCUUAUGCGGAUCUUCACUUGCUGGACUCUAGGCAUGUUCUAGGUACAUCAUAUAUGCCAUGCAUUGACUACCAUAACUAAAUGCGCGCCCUCCUUCCUCUUUGCUUGCUCUUCAGGCUGCCAAGCAGGCCCCCGCCAGCUCCGGCAUUGAGUUCUACGGCCCCAACCGCGCCAAGUGGCUGGGUGAGUGCUGGGAUGGCGUAUGGGAUAGUGGAUCUGUGUAGCGACAGGCUCGCGACGGGACUUGUCGGCACAUGGUAGGUAUCCGUCGCUGAUCCUAUCGACGCUCGCGCUCGCAUACAUGAGCCAGUUGGCUUUGAGCAGCCAGCCUUGUUCCUGCCAGAAACCCAGCGCCCAUGUUGAAGCAUGCAUGCUGUCCAACACGUCGGCCUGACCUUGUCACCACCCCCCUUGUAGGCCCCUACUCCGAGAAUGCCACCCCCGCCUACCUGACUGGCGAGUUCCCCGGCGACUACGGCUGGGACACCGCCGGUCUGUCGGCUGACCCGGAGACCUUCAAGCGCUACCGCGAGCUGGAGCUGAUCCACGCCCGCUGGGCUAUGCUGGGCGCUCUGGGCUGCAUCACCCCCGAGCUGCUGGCCAAGAGCGGCACCCAGUUCGGCGAGGCUGUCUGGUUCAAGGCCGGCGCCCAGAUCUUCUCUGAGGGCGGCCUGGACUACCUGGGCAACCCCUCCCUGGUGCACGCCCAGAACAUCGUCGCCACCCUGGCCGUUCAGGUGAGGGGCUAUGGCAGGCGGAUGUGUGAAAGCCGGGUAUGCGAAGAAAGCUAUAUGCGCGAUGCUGUGGGAAGGGUGCAUGAUCUUGGUUGUGCACACAGCGCUCCAGCGUUGCCAGCGGGAGCCACCCAGCCAAAAGCACCGGCGCUACACGUCCUUGUACUCCCUACUUUCACCGCACUAACCGCACCCCUCUGCUUGCCCUGCUCCAUAGGUUAUCCUGAUGGGCCUGGUGGAGGGCUACCGUGUCAACGGCGGCCCCGCCGGCGAGGGCCUGGACCCCCUGUACCCCGGCGAGUCGUUCGACCCCCUGGGCCUGGCUGACGACCCCGACACCUUCGCUGAGCUGAAGGUGAAGGAGAUCAAGAACGGCCGCCUGGCCAUGUUCUCCAUGUUCGGCUUCUUCGUCCAGGCCAUCGUGACCGGCAAGGGCCCCAUCCAGAACCUGGACGACCACCUGUCCAACCCCACCGUGAACAACGCGUUCGCCUUCGCCACCAAGUUCACCCCCUCCGCGUAAAUUCUGUUCUCAUGACUUCAAUCAGUCAGUGAGCGGCAUUUGUUGCGUCUUUUUGAAAGCGUAAGAGCGGACGAAGUGUAUGAGGAGCAAGCGAGAUCGCGUCGCGUCGUGAUGGAGUUGAUGGUGUGAUGCAGGCGGAUGGAGGCGGAGAAUGAUGUGUGCCGUGUGUCGUUUACCUAGAGAAGACAAUUUUUAAACCGCAGCGUUUGUGGUUUACGCGGUCCCGUGGUGCGCGCAAAUGCGUAUGCCCCCCGUGUAAU
rnacentral:lncRNA from 1 species